AUGCUCAAGAUCCUGCAAGAUAGACUCCAGCAAUACAUGGAGCGAGAUCAAGCUGUGUUUAGAAAAGGCAGAGGAAUGAGAGACCAAAUUGCCAAUAUCUGCUGGAUAAUGGAGGAAGCCAGGGAGUUUCAGAAAAACAUCUAUUUCUGUUUUAUUGACUAUUCUAAAACCUUAGACUGUGUGGAUCAUAUUAAAUUGUGUCAUGUUCUUGGUGGUAUGGGGAUACCAAUUGAUUUUUUCCAAUCUGAUGGCCAUUCUUGUGUUUUCCAUAUUUGCUGGCAUAUGGCAUGCAUUACCUUGACAGCAUCAUCUUUCAAGAUUUUAAACAACAGAGCUGGGAUCCCGUCAUCUCCUGCUGCCUUGUUAUUAGCAAUGCUUCUUAAGGCCCAUUCAACCUCACUCCUCAGGAUGUCUGGUUCCAAUUCAUUCACCACACCGUCAAAGCUAUCCUCUAUAUUAUUAUCCUUCCUAUACAGAUUUUCUGUAUAUUCUUGUUACCUUUCUUGAUCUCUUCAGCUUCUGUUAGGUCCUUGCCAUCUUUAUUUUUGAUCAUGCCCAUUUUCGCCUGAAAUUUACCUCCGAGUUUCUGAUUUUCUGGAAGAGGUCUCUUGUUCUUCCUAUUCUGUUGUCUUCUUCCACUUCCAUGCAUUGCUUGUUCAAAAAUAGUUCCUUGUCUCUCCUAGCUAACCUCUGGAAUUGUGCAUUUAAUUGGGCAUAUCUCCCCCAUCACUGUUUCCUUUCGCCUUCCUUCUUUUUUGGGCUACUUCCAGUGUCUCAGCAGACAACCAUCUUGCCUUCUUGAUUUUCUUUUUCUUUUCUGUCCAUAGUUCUUCUGGGACUCUAUUUAUUAAAUCUAGUCCCUGAAAUCUAUUAUUUACCUCCACUGCAUAUUCACUAGGAAUUGUUAUGCGCCAGCCAGAGCCAGCCAUGGCUUUGGAGCCUGAUCAGGAGUUGAACUCUGACACAGAUGGGGCUUACUAUGACUUUUCACCCAGUUCGGAAAACCCUUUACAGCUCCAGGUGCCUAGAGAAAUCUGCCAGGAAGAGCAGUUAAUGGGAAGGGAGUUUCCCUUGUCUGGGCCAGAUGCUCCCAGUUCGCCUGAGAAUGAGGUUUUUAAUCGGAGAGAAUUUUUGAGUCGUGAGAGGAGUUUCAAACAAAAUCUUCGUAGAAGUCAACAUCUGGCGUCUUGAGGGGAUAAUGAUUAGAGUUCCCAUGGGAACUUUUUGGGAGUAUUGCUUUCACUACUUGGGAUUCGGUUUAGGAUCCUUAAAAGCGUUUUGCACUGUAGAGUCUUUGAGGUGUCAAUGUUGCUAAACUGGAGUGAGGUAGCUCCGUCAAGCUCCAGUUUCCAAGCCAAGUCUUUCUAGUUCCAGUUCCAGUCGGGCCGAGCAGUGCAGCGACUCGCGAAGAGACCUUGAUCUUACUCCGGUUGUUAUUUCCCUGUUCCUGUUUCAAAUUUGCCUCUGUUUUGACAACCUGCUGCCUUGAUCGCUUCAAAGAAUCACCUGAGGAUAGAACUCUGUUUUCUGUCAGCCUUGUUUCCUUGUUGCCAUUCAUGGAUUUUGAUUGCUUGGGAGAGCUAACGAGUUCUCAUUGUGGAUUAUAAUAUCGGACCUUUCCUAUCAUCCAUCUGGGAUCAUAUUUGACUUUUCAGAAAGAACUAUUUCCUCCUCAAACUCUCUAUUUCCUUCUGGAUUUAUAUUUGCCUUAAUAAAGAUAUUAUAUGUUAUAUUGACUCCUGUCUGGUUUUCGAGUGCUCACGCUGCCUUGGAGUGUAACAGGAAUAUUUGUUAGGUCAUAUCUCAUUGGUCUGUGUAUUUUCCCCAUUCUCUUUAGUUUGAGUCUAAAUUGAGCAAUAAGAAGUUCGUGAUCUGAACUACAAUCAGCUCCAGGUCUUGUUUUCACCGACUGGUUGGAUGUCCUCCACCUUUGGCUGCAGAGGAUGUAGUCAAUCUGAUUUCGGUGUUGACCAUCUGGUGAAGUCCAUGUGUAAUGCCAUCUUUUAGGUUGUUGGAAGAGAGUGUUUGUUAUGCACAGUGAGUUUUCCUGGCAAAAUUCUAUCAGCCUAUGUCCUGCUUCAUUUGUUGUCCCAAACCAUGCUUGCCUGUGAUCCCGGUUAUCAUUUGACUGCCCACCUUAGCAUUCCAAUCUCCUGUAAUGAAAAUAAUGUCUGUUUUUGGUGUGUUAUCCAGUAGGUGCUGUAGAUCCUUAUAGAACUUAUCUAAUUUUGCUUCUUCAGCAGCUGGUGGUUGGGGCGUAUAUUUGGAUCACUGUGAUGUUAAAUGGCUUGCCUUGAACUCGAAUUGAGACUAUUCUAUCAUUAUUUGGGUUGUAUCCAAGCACUACAUUAGCAACUUUAUUAUUAACUAUGAAGGCUACUCCAUUUCUUUCGUGUUCCUCUUGUCUACAACAGUUGAGUUUAUGUCAGGAGAAAUCAGUGACAGUUUCUUUUGUUGUUGUUUAUUUGUUCAGUCGUUUCCGACUCUUUGUGACCUCAUGGACCAGCCCACGCCAGAGCUCUCUGUCAGCCGUCACCAUCCCCAGCUCCUUCAAGCCAGUCACUUCAAGGAUACCAUCCAUCCAUCCAUCCAUCUUGCCCUUGGUCGGACCCUCUUUCUUUUUCCUUCUAUUGUAGACAAUUGUCUACAAUAGAUAUAUUUGGAGAUAGCUAUGGGCCUUCCACACAGCCAUAUAACCCAGAAUAUCAAGGCAGAUAAUCCACAAUAUCCUCUUUAAACUGGAUUAUCUGAGUCCACAUUGCCAUAUAAUCCAGUUCAGUGUGGAUUUUAUACAGCUGUGUGGAAGGGGCCUAUGUUUGGGUUUAUCCUCAUGUUCUAUAUCCAGAGAAGGCUAUUUAAUUAGCUAAGUAAUUAAUUAAACAGAACACUUGGGAGCUUGCCAGAGAUAAAUUGAUACUGCUACACAAUUUAUGCAUUGUGGAAUCAUGUACAGGUCCAGUGCUCCUUAUCAAACAUUCUCCAAAAUCCAAAACUGUUUUUCUCAGUUGUCCACUUCUGUCUUCAAAGUGACAUUUGAGGUCGUCCUACCCAUUUAUUUACAAAGCAUGUGGAUAAUGGGCACCCUGGAGAGAAGUUGUAGAGAGAUACGAGAAAUAUGAAGCUGGCAAUCUCUUUAUGUAUAUGCAAAUAUUCCAACACCCGCUCUCCCGCACAAACACACAGUAUCUGAAAUCCAAAACACUUCUCAUCUCAAACAUUUCAGAGUGGAGAUACUCAACUUGUAUAGAAUUAUGUAUGAAAUAAAUAUAUAUGUAAGCUGGCAUGUAUGCUACUGUGAUACCAUGCAAAAUAGAUGUGAUAAUUACCCCUGAGUAGAACCCCCACCUCACCCCACAAGACAUCCACAAGUCCCUAGACCAGGCAUGGGCAAACUUCAGCGGCUGUUAGGAAUUGUGGGAGUUGAAGUCCAAAACACCUAGAGGGCUGAUGUUUACCCAUGCCUGGUCUAGACUCUCUAUUCUCUAAUUUUUUGAUGACCUUUUAACCCCAGCUGCUCUCAUACAACUCAAAACGGAUUGAAAAUGUCUUAGUUUUGUUUCCUCCUACCCUGACUCAGCUUGUCUAACUUGGCCACAUAAUUGUACUUAUAUUGGAGAUGAGAAAUUCCACAAAGGUCAAUGUCAAAAUAGCUAUUAAGACUGGGUAGUUUAGCAAGAUUUCUUUAUAUCCCUAAUGUACUGUAUCUCUCUCUCCUCCAUCUGUUUUGAUAUGUAGAACAGAUGUCAGUGCUGUCCCACAUGUGUUACUUGUCCACAGUUACUGCUCAGGAGUCAUGCACAGAUCUGCAUUUGCCAGGCCAAGUGUGUAACACAGCCUAGUAUAUCUGCUUCAUUAACCACAGAAUUUGUAUUGCAGUUAAUUAUGAAGUGUAUAAAUGGCUAUAUGCCUGGUCUCUGUGUGUGAAAUCCCAUGUCUCAUAUAAUUUUCUUACUGUUUACUAAUUCAGUGGUUUUGUCAAGAAACUAUUUGUUUAUCAGGAAAUUAACUAUUCAUUUUCUUUUUUUCACUAAACACCAUCAUCUCAGACAGAAAACAUUCUCACAGGGGUGUGAAUCCACUGGAUACUCUCAGUAAAUUGUGCAAAAGGCAGGGGAAUUACAAAAUUCAAUGCUAGCAUGGUAAAUUACACUGUUCUCCCAACUCACCCUGGGACACAGCUCAGCAAUGAUUAAUGUGGUAUAGAUUUUGUACAGAAGGCCAGAAGGGCAAAGAAAAUGAUCUCUUCUUUCUCACCAGGACAGAAGCUCCUCUUUUCAGUAUGUUCAUCCAUGUCUUGACUCUUCAAAGGAGUCAGAACAAAUUGAGGAAAUUGUAUUGAUCUCAAUUCUGUUUAACAAAAGGAGAAAAGGAGGGCUUGAUAAUAAAAUUACAUGGCAGAAAGCACAAGAAGAAACCAAAGUUGUAGUCCUGUGCUGAGUUCUGCCAGGAGAAUGUACAAGUUGUACAUG
ensembl:lncRNA